GAUGAACGCUGGCGGCGUGCUUAACACAUGCAAGUCGAACGAUGAAGCCCAGCUUGCCGGGUGGAUUAGUGGCGAACGGGUGAGUAACACGUGAGUAACCUGCCCUUAACACUGGGAUAAGACUGGGAAACUGGGUCUAAUAUAGGAUAGGAGCGUCCACCGCAUGGUGGGUGUUGGAAAGAUUUAUCGGUUUUGGAUGGACUCGCGGCCUAUCAGCUUGUUGGUGAGGUAAUGGCUCACCAAGGCGACGACGGGUAGCCGGCCUGAGAGGGUGACCGGCCACACUGGGACUGAGACACGGCCCAGACUCCUACGGGAGGCAGCAGUGGGGAAUAUUGCACAAUGGGCGGAAGCCUGAUGCAGCGACGCCGCGUGAGGGAUGACGGCCUUCGGGUUGUAAACCUCUUUCAGUAGGGAAGAAGCGAAAGUGACGGUACCUGCAGAAGAAGCACCGGCUAACUACGUG
rnacentral:rRNA from 1 species